rnacentral:rRNA from 1 species
AACGUAGGAGGCAAGCGUUAUCCGGAGUAACUGGGCGUAAAGGGCGGGUAGGUGGUUGUGUAAGUUGGUUAUGAAAGCUCCUGGCUAAACUGGGAGAGGUUGACCAAGACUGCAGAACUUGAGUGGAGAAGAGGUAAACGGAAUUCCGCGUGUAGUGGUGAAAUGCGUAGAGAUCGGGAAGAACACCAGUGGCGAAGGCGACGUGCUGGGUUGCACCUGACGCUGAGAUGCGAAAGUGUGGGGAGCAAACGGG